UGCACAGUUGUGAGGACUGAGAACCCCACCAGGGCCUGCUCAAAGGGGGCUUGCUGCUCUUCCUGCUUCCUCGUCCUUCCUAACAUUCCCGCUGUGGAGAUCUCUUUUGGGGUGUUAGGAGAUGUCUCCGUUGAAUUUCCUAUUACGUGAAAGUGUGUCCACCUGGUGAUGUGACCACGGGUCCCUGUUCACCUGGGACAGUCCUGGCUCAUGCCCCUGGUCCCUGUGCUCCAUGCACUCUUGAAUGUUCUCUGUGGGAAGGUAGGUUAUGUGGUGACCCACGUAUAGAGAACAGGUGCUAGCGAACCAGAGCUCAGACCAGCAGUAGAGUUGAUAGGGGAAAGGGAAGGGCACCACAAGAGUGGACAGGGUGCCCUGCUCAAGGUUGAGUGAGGUCAGACUGCACAGGCAUGGCCUCACCGUGGGAGGAAGACAAUCUCGGCGCUGGGGAUGGAGUCUGCCCACAUAAUGGCCACCCGCCGACGAUGCCUCAGGCUGGUCUCGACAGCCAGCUCUGGAGUGACAGAGUGAGGCUCACUCAGGGGCCACUCUGCACUGAAGUCCACACUGACCAGUUCCCUCAGACAGACCAUCCUCAGCUUCACACUCUUCACUGAUUCAGGUGAUCUUUGGGGGACGUGGAACCGGCAAGGGGGCCAAACACCUCUUCACCUCUGGAGGACCCUCCAUUUGGCAUGGCUCAUGGCCACUGCACUGGGGUUCUCCUAGGGAGAUGGUUCAUAUGCUGACAUCCAGGUCCCACCCCAGACUGAAGGGUCAGCCACCGCAUCCCUUAAAUGGCCCAAGGUAGACAGAUGUGCCCGUCAUCCUGUAGGAAUGAGGAGGUUAGGACUGGGAACUCAGGACUAGAACCCAGUUCUCCCCCACCCACAGACCCCCCAAAGACACUGGGUGGGAGACCACAGCAAGAUGAGGGUUUCCUCAGUGGCCUCCCUGGAAGGACAAGGAUAAUGGUAGGGAACUGUCUUUGUUAAAACGUAAAUGGUCAUGCUUGAACUUAACCAGGACAGCAUCUCACCCUGGAAGUUAACUCUCUAAGUGAAGCAGCUGCUGCUGAUGGAGUGGAGAGGAAGACAGACCCCGCUGGGUGGAGCUGGCACUGUGCUCUGGGCCGAGCCUGGACUUCCCGUCUGUGCUGUGAGGCUAAGUGAAGGUGGCCAUGCCCUGGAGAGGCGUCCUCUGCUUUGGGAAUCUUCUAGAAGCAGACCAGAGAUGUGUUGUCUCCGCUCUGCCCCAAGCCGGAUUGCUCCUGCCAUCAGUCAGGUGGCUUGGCGCUGAGGGAGUCCUCUGUCUACGGAAUGUGUUCUUGAGAAAAAUGUGAAGUCACUAAAUCCAGGCUAAUGGGCCAUUAAGCAACUGAAGGGAUAUAUAUGACACUUACCCUGUGCAAUUUCUCUGAAGAAUUGGGUCUUAACCACAGACAGAGAUGGUGCUUAAGGAGAAGUAAUAAAACCAAAUUGAUUCUUAAUUACUCUAG
rnacentral:lncRNA from 1 species